AAGUCAUCUUUCUCUAGCUAAAUCCCUCACACCUGCUUGUCAGUUUCCGAGAUCCAGUCGAAACUGGACCUUUGUGUGUUUGUAGUAAUGAGAGAGAUUAUGUUCUCCAGUUGCAAAGGCACACCAGUGUAAUAAUAUCACUGCAUUGCUUCAGUGUCAGGGACAGGUUCCAGUCUGUACAGAAACCAAGCAUAGAUCGCCCUGCUGGUUGCAUCAACUCUGACUGUUUAUAUGAGACUGAAUACCGGUCGUGGACUCCCUAGGCAGACGAAGCUAACUGCACUGCAGAACCCACUGGCCUUUUAAUCUUCUCAUCAUGCAGAUGAAUUAAUGAAAGACUAUCUGGAAUUGUAGGCUGAGAUCCAACAGCCUUGUGGGGAGGAGUGGC